CUGCGAAUGGCUCAUUAAAUCAGUUAUCGUUUAUUUGAUAGUACCUUACUACUUGGAUAACCGUGGUAAUUCUAGAGCUAAUACACGCUAAAAACCCCGACUUCGGAAGGGGUGUAUUUAUUAGAUAAAAAACCAAUGCCCUUCGGGGCUCCUCGGUGAUUCAUAAUAACUUAACGAAUCGCAUGGCCUUGCGCCGGCGAUGGUUCAUUCAAAUUUCUGCCCUAUCAACUUUCGAUGGUAGGAUAGUGGCCUACCAUGGUAUCAACGGGUAACGGGGAAUUAGGGUUCUAUUCCGGAGAGGGAGCCUGAGAAACGGCUACCACAUCCAAGGAAGGCAGCAGGCGCGCAAAUUACCCAAUCCCGACGCGGGGAGGUAGUGACAAUAAAUACUGAUACAGGGCUCUUUUGGGUCUUGUAAUUGGAAUGAGUACAAUUUAAAUCCCUUAACGAGGAACAAUUGGAGGGCAAGUCUGGUGCCAGCAGCCGCGGUAAUUCCAGCUCCAAUAGCGUAUAUUAAAGUUGUUGCAGUUAAAAAGCUCGUAGUUGAACCUUGGGUCUGGCUGACCGGUCCGCCUCACCGCGUGCACUGGUUCGGCCGGACCUUUCCUUCUGGGGAUCCGCAUGCCCUUCACUGGGCGUGUCGGGGAACCAGGACUUUUACUUUGAAAAAAUUAGAGUGUUCAAAGCAGGCCUUUGCUCGAAUACAUUAGCAUGGAAUAAUAGAAUAGGACGUGCGGUUCUAUUUUGUUGGUUUCUAGGACCGCCGUAAUGAUUAAUAGGGAUAGUCGGGGGUAUCAGUAUUCAAUUGUCAGAGGUGAAAUUCUUGGAUUUAUUGAAGACUAACUACUGCGAAAGCAUUAACCAAGGAUGUUUUCAUUAAUCAGUGAACGAAAGUUAGGGGAUCGAAGACGAUCAGAUACCGUCGUAGUCUUAACCGUAAACGAUGCCGACUAAGGAUCGGGCGAUGUUAUCAUUUUGACUCGCUCGGCACCUUACAAAAAUCAAAGUUUUU
rnacentral:rRNA from 1 species